CAUUAAAACACCGGAUCUCGUACGAUCAUAGAAGUUAAACAACGUCGAGCCUGGUCAGUAGCUAGAUGGGUGACCGUUAGGGAAUACCGUGCGGUGUA